UGAAUUAGCUGAGAUGGCCUGUAAUUCUCCUGCAGGCCUGAGUCCAGCCAGAACAGCAACCAAUCGGAUCACCCAUCAUCAGGAAUACAGUCUGAUGGCGGUUCUUUAGUGCCAGGUCCAUCUCUGCACUGUCAGAAAAUUGCUCGUGCCAAGUGGGAGUUUCUGUUUGGCACUCCAGCAGAAAACACUGCCAGCAAACAAGAGAAGAAUGUUCCAGAAUCCUCCACAGCUCCACCAAGUGGCCACUCCACCCCAAUACCACCCUCUUAUCUGCCAUUGGAGGAGCUUGCUCUCAGAGCGAAUCAUGACGUCCAACACGUGGAGGUGGAGCUAGUGACUCCACCCCCCGCCGCCCCAGGCACCUCCCCCAAAACAGGCAUAAUUCGGCGAACUUUGAAAUACUCAGAGACCGAUCUGGACGCCGUUCCGUUACGAUGUUAUCGGGAGACAGACAUAGACGAGGUGCUGUUAGCAGAGCAAGAGGACGCUGACUCAGCGUUUGGAAGUAACCGAAGUGUCAUGGGAACUUCCUGUGCUGGGAGCAGCCCGCUAGGAGAGAUGUCGAAUGAAAGAACAGAUGGACAGGAGGAGGAGGAGGAGGAGGAAGAGGAGGAUGUUGCGAGCUGGGUCACUGUCAGGAUGCAGGGCGAUGUGAGGAGGCUGUUGGCCGAUCAGGAGCGAGAUGAAGAAGAGGAGUUUUACAGCAUGAUGCUAAAGAGGCCCCAAGAUCGUUUCAGUAACAACCAUCCAGCUCUAAAAUCUCCCAUCCUGGUCCGUGGUCCUUGCAGAAGGUCCGGAGACAGUUUGGACACAUUCAGCCGGCAUUUUGAGAACAUCAUGGAGUCACACCGUGCCAAGGGCACCUCCUACAGCAGUCUGGACAGUCUCGACCCUCUGACCUCUAGCACUCAAACUGUCCUGACCUUUGACUUCCCCACACUGACUCCACAGGUGCAGGGUCAGAUCUACCAGAGUGCCCGGCAAAUCGUAGAGCUCAGCUUCGCUCCAUUGGCACACAUAGAGAUGCCCAGCCUUUCAGAGUCGGCACUGACGAUAACAGGGGAGACGGAUGCCACACGAGCGCCAUCCAGUGAACGUCUCAGCAGCGGGUCCGACGAUCGCAACGGACAGAGCUGGCAGAGCAACCCACCACUUUCACUGCCCAGGUUUGUGUAAUUUUCAUCACUGAAGUGAGGAAUUGUAUGUUUUGAGUAGAAGAACUUAAUAAUGUGCUCUGGUUGUAGAAGGUCAUCUGUGCAGUAUGGAAGUAUGCCCUUCUGAGGCUUGUCCAAAUACUCACACUUGCGGUCUUGACCACUUGGGAGCACAUGCAUGCAACAGAAAGUAAGUGCACAAGACUGUCCCAGGACUUAAAAACACGACUCAAAAAGUGUAUCCCAUCAUGCAUCAUGUUCUGAAAAUAACCCGCCAGACUUUUUUGCCAAGAUCUCGCGAGAGGUUGUGGAAACCUUUCCAGUGUAAUUUUAAUGUUGAUAAUAAUUAGAUAUUUAGGUAGU
rnacentral:lncRNA from 1 species